rnacentral:lncRNA from 1 species
UAGUCCAAAGCUCCAAAAUCACAUUUCCUUGAGCAAUUACUCCUAACUGGCUUAAAUCUAGCGAAAUAUCAACCAAGGAAGUCAACCAAUUCCAUAGGAAGUAAUCCUAAUCAAUAAAACUUCUAUCUUUAAAGAACUCCCAAAAAGUAAACAAAAGUCAACCCGGACUCGUGUGUCAAAAAUUCGGAACCAAUAUCAAAAGACGAUGACUCAUAAAUAGCCGACACCAAAUAUUUAAUUAGUUCCCAAAACCGAAUCUAAACCGGCAUUCAAAUUCCCAAAAUACACUCUCUUAAAGUGUAGGUAAAACACCCAAAUUUUCCUUCAAAAUUUCAUGUUCUCUGUCAAUGAUGUGUUGCAUUGUUCUCUCCGGGCACGUUUUACGAGAAUUUCCUCUUUUUAUUUUUAUAGGCCCAUUUGGUUUCAAAUAAAAUAAUGAAUAGGUUCUCGUGCUAUGAGGAAGCACUUUUGGAGUUGAGGAGCAUGAUGAAGCAUGGCAGGGAAAGCUUGACAGGACCCAUGUCGAGAAGGAACUUUUCAGCUUCGGGCACAAUUGGUUUCGAAUAGAUUGAAAAGCUGAUGGUGGAGCUUAAAGAGCAUGAGGAUUUCUCUGCUGAAUAAAGUUCUCAGGCAGCUCAGGAGCUAUGGUCUUUGAAGAAGUUGUUUGCCAAUAAAGAGGCUUAUUCCAGAUACUUCAGUCAAGGGUAUUCUCGAGUGAUGAAUAGUCUGCAAAUAUCACAAGACAAAGUGCAAGCUCUUGAAAACUCCUUGAAAGAUGAGAGGGAUGGUCUUGCUGAUUCAGAAGUUAAUAGGUUGAAUCUACAGUCUGAGAAGGGGGAAAGUAGAUGCCGACUAUGAAGUGCUCAAAAAUCAAAUCGGGCUUGCUUACAAUUAGCUUUAUUGGAAACCCAUUUGAAGAUUAGAGGUAGUCUGUGCUGGGAUCCCUGAUUUGGACGGGAAUAUUGAGAAAGUUAGACAUAAGGUGGAGGAAGCCUGGCUACUAAUAAUUUCAUCUACUUCCUAAGAUUAUUCCUUGAAAGAAGAGACGCUCUCAGAGUGGCCGAAUGAGGUUGACAAAGAAGAAGACACCGAAUCACAUCCUUCGAUUUCAACUCCUCAAAUGGAUCUUCCUUCGAUGGUACCAUCAACUUCUCAAACUUUUCCUCCUAUCCUCAAAUUGUUAAUCUAGAUUCUCCUUCUCAAAGCCAGCAAUAAGCAUUGGUACUUAGUGAAAAGUGCAGUAACCCGAGUUUGGGGUGUUAUCCGUGCAAUGACCCGUUUGAGGUAUUUUCUUAUUUGUUCUUUUUUGUUUGAGAAAUAUUUUGUUGAUCAUUUUGUGAAUAUGUUGAUGGAACAACUAUUUUUGAAGCCUUUGAGCCUUUGCUUAAUGAAUAGUUUAUGGCUUCUAUUUUCGUACUUAAAUUAUUUUUUAAUUCGGAAGUACUUUAUUUGAGUUUUCGAUUAUUGUUGGGUGUUGCUUGUUUGAGUAUUUUUAACAUGCAUCAUGACCAUAAUGAGAUCUUUAGGUCAUAUUAUUUGGGUGUUCAACUUGUGUGGAAUGAUGUCUUAAGCCCGUACUCUUUAGGUGCUUGACUCCAAAUAUAAAUAAUAUGUUUUUGAAAGCAAUGAAGAGGAUGUUUCUCUUUCACUUCAGUGUGAGAUAAGAUUGAGUUUAUUUAACUUUUUAGUCUUGAGAAAUUUUGAUCCUAUAUGACUUUUGGUCGAAUGGAGUAUUGAUCCCUUAGGACAUUUAGUUAGGAAAUAUUGAUCCCGAUAGGAAAUUGUAGUCUAAGAAAAUCCAGAUAGGACGUUUUCGUCUAAGGGGAUACUGAUCAAUAAAUGUAUAUCAUAUUGGAUUUGUCCCCAAGAGACACUUGAUUCACGGGGAUACUAAACCCAGUCUAAGGAACUCAUGUCUCUUGAAAGUAAGAGUAAAAGUGUCUUUCAUUAAUAUAUUUGGAAUAAUCGAUCCAAAUACAAUUAUGAAGUAGUAAGUCAUUCUACGAGACUUGACUAGUGAGAUGGAAUAAUAAAUCUGUAUUAUAUUAAAGUAAGCCAUUCAGAAAGGCUUUCAUAUUCAAUUUGAAUGGUCACUAUUGGACCGGAUACAAGAUAUGAGUUUGGAAUGAACUUUCUUUAGUUGCACUUUUAUUCGCCGAAACUAUAUCAUUCACGUAGAGUGAUUUUUUUAUUUGCAAAUUGUUUUUGACAUGGAAUUACGAUUUUUGAUUUGAACAUGGAGUUCGUGACUCAAACAUGGAGUUCCUGACUCGGACAUGGAGUUCUUGACUUAACAUACUUCUUGAUCAUCUUAAUCCAUGUAUAUUGAAUGUGUAAUCCCCCCAAUGUUCGAGUUGUAAGUAUGAAAACUCAGACACUGUCUUCUGCCAAAUGCCUUGAUCCAAUAGCUAGAUUUCAUGUCUUGACAUCUUGAUAUCCCUUUGGUCUGAUUCCUGAAAAUACGUAUAGGGGAUAAGGUGUAUAUUUUAGAUAAAGAUGGUGCCUUGGCCUUUUCAGUCAGAUAUUUAUUGGACUUGGGUGGAAUCUACAAAAGUUCUAAAUUAUUAUCAAUGGGAGAUGUACUCAUCAUUCCGGAAAGUCAGGGUAUAUGCCUAUAAUCUAAACUAAAUAAUUAAAUAAAAAAUGCACUAGAGGCGUGCCACACCACCGUGAAGAUGCUAUAAAUUGUAGUGCUUCAGGUGAGUGAUGUUCCACAUGGAGUGGAUCGGCUUUCCUUCCAUGGUCUCAAGCUUAUAAGUUUGUUUUCUCACAAUUUCACUGACUCUGUACGGGCUUUCCCAAUUAGGUCCAAGUUUUUUAGCAUUAAGCUCCUAUGUUGACAAAAAAAUAUUCCUAAGCACAAAGUCCCGUAUUUUUAAAUAUUGGAGAUUUUCUUUUUGAUUGUAGCAUUUAUCAAUCCGUUGCUUUCAUGCAACCAUCCAGAUCAAUAUUAUUUCUCUUCGUCCUUCUAAUAAAUCUAAAUUGGUUGUCUACGCAUCAUUAUUAGAGUCUCGAUUUGCAGGUGCAAACCUUAAGCUGGGUUCUCUUAUUUCGACCAGAAUUAAUGCUUCUGAUUCGUACAGUAGUGAACAUGGAGUUUCACCUAUACUUGUCCUUGCUGUCUCGCGAUAGGCCCAUAGGACUCUGGGUAGCUCUUCCAUCCAUCGCCCCUUAGAUGUUUCUAGUCAUUUCUUCAAAUUAUCAAUUAUGAUUUUGUCUAAGACUCUGUCUGGAUAUUUACUUGGGAUGUUAAGGAGAUGAUGUGAUCCUUUUGAUUUUUCAUUCCUCGAAGAACUUAGUAAUUUUUUCAUCAAUAGACUAUGUUCCAUUAUUGCUUACUAUUUUCCUUGGUACACCAAAUCGAUAUAUUAUGUUUCUUCAAACAUAUUCUAUCACUUCUUUCUCUUGGAUACUUGCAAAUACACCUGGCUCUACCUACUUAGUAAAAUAGUCAUUCAAAACCAACAAAAAAUAUACCUAAGUGAUCCGACUAUGUACAUCCCCUAUUUCAUGAAAGGGCAAGGGGUUAAAGUUGAAUGUAUGGGUUCUAUAUGCUAAUGCAGAAAAUAAGCUUACAGUUGGCACUUGUCACACCUUUCGACAAAGGUUGUUGCAUCAUCUUGCAUCCGAGACCAAUAAUAUCUGGCUCGGAUGAGAUUUUGAGCUAAAGAUUUGUCUCCAAAAUGAUUUCCAUAAUUUCCUUCGUGGAUUUCUCGCAUGAUAUAAUUCGUUUGACCGGGGCUUAAGAAUUUGGCUAAGAGGCCAUUUAAUAUCCUCUGAUAUAGCUCACCUUCAAUGAGGCAAUAUCGGAUAGCUUGUAUUCAUAGUUGUCAGGAUGCAUUCUUAUCUUCGGGUAAUACCUCAUUCUACAAAUAAUCAAUAAACUCAUAAUGCCAAUCCGAAGUUAAAUUUACCUUAUCUUUAUUUUGAUAAAUAGUUGAUAGAAAUAUGUGGACAACAAAGUUAUUUCCGGAAUCAAUGAUGUUUGCAACUGAUCCGAGAUUUACAAGUGUACCUGCCUCUGCAUUCUCUUCUCGUGGUAUUUGAAUCACUUUUCAUUUUCGGGAUUUUUCCAACUGUGAUUUAACUUUAUAGUGAAGUUGCAUCAUGCUUUCUCCAGAUGCAUACUCCUUGUAUUUGAUUGAGCAUAAGCUGAGAGUCCUUUUUAUGCUCGAUACUUUUUGCUCCUAACUCUUUGGCUAAUUCGAUCCCUGCAACCAUAGCUUCAUACUUGGCUUUAUUAUUAUAAUUGAAUGAUAUUUACUAUAUUAUUUAAUUGCUUACUCGGAAGAAGUGAUAAGUAUUAUUACCAAACCAAACCCGUUAUCAGAUGAGAUAUUCGUAAAUAGGGUCGAAGUUUUGGAAACUGUCCUUGAAGCAAUCGUUGCUUCCUUUUCAACCUCAUGGAGUAUUCCCGUACUAAAAUCAGCCAUGAAGUCAACUAAGACUUGAGAUUUGAUGGUAGUACAGGGUUGAUAAGUUACAUCAAACUCAAUAGUUCAACUUCCCACUUGAUAAAUCAUCCAGACAGUACAGGUUUAUGAAGAAAAUUCCGUAACGAGAAUAUUGUAACCACAAAAAUUGGAUGACAUUAAAAAUAAGACCUUAAUUUUCAGACAACUACUAUUAGUACCAAGGCUAAUGUUUCUAAAUGUAUAUACCUUGUUUCUGUUUCUAAAGUAUUUUACUAACAUAAUGUACAUGAGAUUAUGUAUAUUUGUCUUCUCGUGCUAUAAUCGCACUUACUGAGAUUUUGGAAACUGCCAAGUAGAUUAGAAACUUUUCUAUUUCUCCGUGUUUUAAAAGCAACGGUGGAUUCACUAGGUAGUUUAACAGGUCUUUCAAUGCUUGUUGGAAUUCUCGUGUCCACUCAAAAUCCUUAUGUUUCUUCAAUACAGAGAAAGAUUUGUAGCGCCUUUCGGAAGAUCUCGAUAUGAAUCUUCCAAAAGCUCCUAUCUUGCCGGUCAAUCUUUACACGUCUUUUUUUCUUGUUAGUAUAUCUGAGAUCUCGUCAAUAGCUUUGAUUUGAGCUGAGUUAUCACGACCCAAAAUGCCACACUGGUCAUGAUAGAGCCUGACCCACUGGCUAGGCAAGCCAAUCAUAAAGCAAUAAUCAAACAUGAUAACAAAGUAUAAGUUAUGUAAGUCUAAGAGUCAACUAUCAUAAAUAUAGACUGUAUCAAUACAUAAAUCUCCCAAAAUUGAUAAUACAGAGUCAUGAGUUCUACGACAAGAGUACAAGUCUGAUAAUAUAAAAUAUUAUCUAAACAACAACAACAACAACAAUGAUAGAAAUGGAAAGAGAGACCAAGGACUGCGAUUAGGAUGCAGUUCUAUCUCGCCUCUCAGCAACUCAACAAUGAUCCAACACAACUCUCAGCUAGGUCUCACACAUGGAUCUGCAUAACUAAGUGUAAUGUGUAGUAUGAUUACAACCGACCCCAUGUACUCUGUAAGUAUCAUGACUAACCUCGGAGAGGUAGUGACAAGAAUCACCAAUAAUACUCACGUGAUAAAUCUGUACAAGUCAUGAAUACAAAUAUACGUAGCAACAAUACGAGAAUAUAUACAUAAGAUACAAAUAAGAUCUAUAGUGCAAUAGAGAAGAUAUGCACUGGCAUCGAACCGAACAAUAGUUUAGGAUAUAGAGAGGAUAUGCAUAAACGGACAAGUCAACUACACAGAGAAAGACAUAUAGGGAAGAUAUGUAGUGAGUAUUCUUUCAUCAACUAAGCAACUAUAGAGAAGAUACACAUAAAAUGGUAUGCAUAUAGUUUUAGAGCUAACAUAUAGAGGAGAUAUGUAGUAAAAUCAUGUAUACCCAAGGAGUUUGCAUAUAGAGAAGAUACACAAAAACCUACCACCGAUCAGUUUUUCAUAAUCGCGUGUACGUCAUCAAGGAGAAACAUGAGCGGACGGCCCUAGGGGAUGGAUCAUUAUCCACACGCUGCAUGGACAACUCACGUGCUACAGUCAUCUCAACCCGUACGGACAACCACAUGCUGUCAAACCAGUCCAUAAUACAAAAAACAUAUAAACAAAUACAUGCAUACAGUCAAUGGACAUCAAAUGACAUACUCCUGGACUGAUAAAAUUGCAUGCUAAAGUGUAUGCAUGUGCAAAUUGUACUAACUAUGAACUCANNNNNNNNNNNNNNNNNNNNNNNNNAUAGGAGGAAGGAUAUGGCACUGGCAUCGAACCCGAACCAAUAGUUUAGGAUAUAGAGAGGAUAUGCAUAAACGGACAAGUCAACUACACAGAGAAAGACAUAUAGGGAAGAUAUGUAGUGAGUAUUCUUUCAUCAACUAAGCAACUAUAGAGAAGAUACACAUAAAAUGGUAUGCAUAUAGUUUUAGAGCUAACAUAUAGAGGAGAUAUGUAGUAAAAUCAUGUAUACCCAAGGAGUUUGCAUAUAGAGAAGAUACACAAAAACCUACCACCGAUCAGUUUUUCAUAAUCGCGUGUACGUCAUCAAGGAGAAACAUGAGCGGACGGCCCUAGGGGAUGGAUCAUUAUCCACACGCUGCAUGGACAACUCACGUGCUACAGUCAUCUCAACCCGUACGGACAACCACAUGCUGUCAAACCAGUCCAUAAUACAAAAAACAUAUAAACAAAUACAUGCAUACAGUCAAUGGACAUCAAAUGACAUACUCCUGGACUGAUAAAAUUGCAUGCUAAAGUGUAUGCAUGUGCAAAUUGUACAACUAUGACUCAAAUUAGGCGAAUACGCCACACAACAACGAGCAUCACAUUCAAACAAGAAAAGUAAUCAUACACAUGAUCUCUAGUAUGAUUCACAAAAUUAUGAAGUCGUACGACAUAUAAGGCAUGAUAUCAAGAAUCACAAAUAUUCAAUUCAAGGGAUAAUAUAGCCUAAAGACUACCUUGAGCAUGGAUAAACCUAGUGCACGCACAUUAGCUCGACCUAUCGCAUGUAUGUCACCCCUAACACAUAGCCAACAUCAACAAUUCAAGAAACUAGUAUCUUAAGCCAAGGUUAGGAAAGAUACUUACCUCAAAUGAGCCAAUACUCCAAAAUAUCCAACUCAUGUGCAUCGACUUCCGAACGGCUCGAAUCUAGCAAAACACAGCUCAAUAACGUCAAAUAAAGCCAUAGGAAACAACCCCAAAUAAUAAAACUUUGAUCUUUAAUCAAAUUUUCAAAAGUCAACAAAAAGUUAAAUAGGGCUCACACGGUUAAAAUCCGAGUCAAGGGGUAGAUCCCGACUACCCAUAAUCCCACGAGUCCAAAUAUGUGAUUCGAUUCCAAAAGCGAGUCCAAAUCGACUCCCAAAUCUUUAAUUUACACUCUCAAAAAUUGUAGUCAAUCCCCCCCCCCCCCCCCCCCAAACUUUCUCUUCCAAAUAUCACGAUCUAUGCGUAAACAUCCAUGGGAAUACAAGAUUUAUAAAAAAAUGUUGAGUAGAAAUCACUUACCUUCAAAGUGGUGAUGCAAUCCUCCCUAGAAAUUGCGUAUAUCCGAGCUCCAAAACUCAAAAUUGUGAAAUAUGCUCAAACCCUCGAAAUAUACAUUUUGCCCAGCGACUUCUGUAUUUGCAGACAAAUCUAGCGCUUUUGCGACACCGCUUAUGCAAUAAAACCUUGCAUCUGCGAGUUUCAAUUAAACAUCCACCCUUCACACUUGUGGAUCUUGAAUCCACUUCAACAAUCCUGCAGGUGCGAUAACUUUCCACCUUUGCGCAAGCUCCCCAAGCCUACCUGCCUCCACUUCAGCAUACAAAUCCUCUGCAUCUACGAAUUUGCAGAUGCGCCAAAGCUUCGUAUCUGCAGAAUAUCUAGUCCUCAACCAUGCUUCACAUCUGCGAUCACCAGUUUGCUUCUACAAACUCGCACCUACGCACGCUGCCUCGCAGGUGCGACACACCAACACCAGAAGUGCUUCUAACCUCACCUCUAAAAUGAUCCAGAAUCCAUCAGAAACACACCCAAGCCCUUCGAGACCCCAAUAAGUCCCAAUAAUUUAUCCAAACUUGCCCGAAUGCUCAAAACACCACGACUAAUAUCAAAAUCACGAAUCGACGAUCAAAACACAAGUUAAGCUUCUCUUAAGUUCAUCAAAUUCUAAACUUCAAACCACACGCCCGAUUCAAGCCUAACCAAUCCAGAUUUUAUCCAAACUUUGCACACAAGUCCCAAAUGAAAAAACAAACAUAUUCCAACUUCUGAAACAACAAUCCAAAUUUGAUAUCAUCAAAGUCACCCCCGGUCAAAUUUAGGAACUCUCCAAACCUUCAAAUUGUCAACUUUAGGCAAUUAACAUCAAACAUUCUAGGAACCUCCAAAUCUGAUUCCGAACAUAUGCACAAGUCCAAAAUUACGGUACAAAACUAUUAAAACCCUCAAAUCACCAAUCCGAGACCGUUUAUAUAAAAGUCAAACCUUAGUCAACUCUUACAACUUAAGUUUUCAACAAAGAAACUAAGUAUUUUAAUUUACUCCAAAACCUCCCCGGAACAAAACCAACCAUCUCCAUAAUUCACAGUUCAUCAAGCAUGCUUGGGAGAAACAUCAAAUAGGGGAAUGAGGCUCAAAUACACAAAACGACUAGACGGAUCGUUACAUUAUCCCCCUCUUGAACAAACGUUCGUCCUCGAACGCGUUUAGAAUCAUACCUGAAAUACCAAAUAGGUGAGGAUACAAACUCCACACAUCAUGCUCGAUCUUCUAUGUUGCCUCCUUAACUAGCUGAACUAUCCACUGGACCUUCAUUGACGCGAUCUUUUUAGACUUGAGAUUUUGAACUUGCCUAUCCAAAAUGGCCACCGACUCCUCCUCAUAAGCUAGAUUCCCAUCCAACUACACUGUGCUGAAGUCCAAACAUGUGACUUGUCUUCAUCAUUUUCACGGAGCAUAGAAAUGUGAAGCACCAAAUGAACUCCCGAAAGACUAGGUGGCAAAGCAAGUUUUUAGGCAACCUCGCCAACUCUCUCCAACACCUUGAAAGGACCAAUAAACCUCGGCUUAACUUGCCCUUCUUCCCUAAACUCUUUACGCCCUCCAUAGGCAAAACUCCAAGUAGAACCUUCUCCCCCUCCAUGAAUGCCACAUCACAAACUCAUCUAUCAGCAUAAUCCUCUCCUGAAUCAACUUCACCUUCUCCAAUGCAUCACAAACCAAGUCUGUGGCCAUCAACCUAGCCUCCCUAGGCUCAAACUUACCGACUGGAGAACGACAUCGUCUGCCAUAUAAGGCCUCAUAUUGUACCAUCUCGAUGCUAGAGUGGUAGAUAUUGUUGUAUGCAAACUCUGUUAAUGGUAGAAACUGAACCCACUGGCCACCAAAAUCAAUAACUCAGCCUUUCAACAUAUCCUCCAGGAUUUGAAUGGUCCGCUCGGAUUGCCCGUUGUUGAUACUCAAUUUUCCCUCAUAUUUUUAUAAAGUAUUUCAUAUACUUUAAAAAAUUAUUUUGCAUUAUUAACCUAUUUAUAUAAUUCAUACAAGUGAUUUCUAUAAUUUUUAGAGUUUUAAAUCUGAUUUCUUGCAAUAUUUGUUCUAAAUUGUCAAGUACUUACUAAUUAGUCUUUCAAGUUAUUUUGAGUCAUUUAAUUAUAUAAAUUAAUUAUUUAUAUCCAUAUUCAUAUCUAUAAUAUUUUAAUUUAUUUUAUAUAAUUAUAUUUUCACUUUUGAUUAUUAUUUAUAAUAUUUGCAAUAAUAGCCUAUACUCUAAAUAAUUGUAUUUACUAUAUUAUUGGGUCAAAAUAGCAUUUUUAUAUUUUUAGAAUCAUGAUCCACUAUUUCAAAGUACUAAAUAGCAUAAAUAGAUUUUUUUUAUAUUUACCUAGUUAUUUUAUUAAUUUAUUUUCCUUAACAACAUUUAUUUUUAAUUCUAGCCCAAAUUUGAGCCAAUUUUCGGACCAAAUAGGCCCAAAUCACUAGCUCAGAGAUCCCAAACCCUUAGCCCAAUCUCCCAUGUCCCAAACCAAACGGGCCCUUUUAAUUAUAAUCUAAUUAGGACCCAUUUUUGACAGGCCCCACAUUUCCUCUAAUCCUGGCCGUUGAUCCCAAACGAUUAACGACCCACAACCGUUCCCCCGUUUUUAAUUGCCCAACCCCUAACCCUAAUCCUCACUCACCUCAACCCCCGCCCCUAAACUCUCUGCAAUCUUUCCCUUUCUCUGAAGAACCCUAGCCGCCUCCCCUUUCAAUCCCUCUCCGAAUCCCGUUAACAAUAGGAUUCACCCAUUAUUUGCUUACCAUAUUUGUGUUCCCUCGCCAUUGGUUUCCCCUUUAUGAUAUCACUUAGGUACUUUCUUGAUUUUGGCAAGUACCCUCUAUAUAAUUGGACGAUGAUUUCGUCUACAUACGUUCAACGAGGAAUGAUUUUGCAAUUUUGGUUUGAUUUACAGCUGGUCGGACCCGAUUGGAGUUUGAUAUUUUUAUCUCCUUUACCGGUUCUGAUUGCAUGAGAUCUUUUCUUUUCUUUUUUAUGUUUAAAUUAAUUAUUUUCCAUGAUUGUUUGUUCAAAUCGAUAACUAUAUAACCCCACCCCGAUUCCCCUUUUGGACGGACUUUUAAUCACUAUCACUAUCUCACUCAGUUACUCACUUUAUUCUGAAACUUUGGUUCUUGACCGGCAGAAAGCCAAGGACAUCGAAAUUUGCUUUAUCGACCUUCCCAGUGCGAGCACUCCUCGG